rnacentral:lncRNA from 1 species
AUGCACGGGCUCCCUGGAGCCCGCACUCGCACACCUGCACGACCUCCCCGAUCCCCGGCCGCUGCAGUGUUACUUUCAGGGAAGGAAGAAAGCAGGAGCUUCCCCGGGCUUCCUCCACUUUGUGACUGGAUGCUAAUGUGUCAUUUUGUCACCUUUUUCAUUACUCCCCCCUCCACACCUCUACACAAACCACCCGAACCACCUAAGCCUGCCAACAGGUACCCCCGUGGUGACCCCACCUCCAGCUGCCAGCUGCAGGCACCGAAGACCCAGGCCCCCAGCCAGCCUCCCGCACCUCCGGGCACCUGGGCGCAGCCCUCUCCAGACAAGCUCAGGAAACUGAAGUUUCAGGCCACACGGAUGGACGCUGGGGCCGGGAAACUAAGGAGGCCCGGGAGCCCCAGCGCCCCUGCACCUGCUCGGCCACGAGGAAACAGGGGAGGGUGGAGAGGGAGAGGGGUGGUGGGGGGACCCAGGGUGGGGGCAGAGAGGCCGCGUGUGGGCAGCAGGGACUCCGACGUCACCGAGGGAGCCCCUGAGCCCCUGGCUCAGGACUUUGGGGGCAAAGCCCUUAAGGCGGGGGCGUGGAGGCGACAGCCCGUCCACCCGGUGUCCGCGACCCCUCCCCCCCCCCGGGCCUGCCCGCCGCGGGGUCGCCGGAGGGGGCGGGACGGUCGCGCUCACCUGCGGGGGUCGCAGUCCCUGCGCGGGUCGGACUCAGGCUUCGGGGUCGGGGUCGGGGUCGGGGAGUGGGCGGGGGUCGGGCUCCGGGUCUGGACUGGACUCCGGGUUGGGGUCCGCCUCCGGGUCGGGGUCGGGGUCGGGGUCGGGGUCGGGGUCCGGGUCCGUGUCGGGGUCGGGGUCUGGCUCCGGGUGAGGGUCGGGGUCGGGGUCGGGGUCGGGGUCGGGGUCAGGGUCGGGGUCGGGGUCAGGGUCGAGGUGGGGGUCCAGGUCGGGGUCCGAGCGCAGCGGGGUGAAGGCUGCAGCCGUUAUGCGGGAUCUCGGUGGAGCCCGGGGAGGAGGCGGUUGCGGGGGGCGAGCCGAGGGGGCGCGCCGGGGCUGCGGAUUGGCCGGAGCUUCUGCCCCGCCCCGCCCCCGCCCCUCCGGCUCGGCCCCGCCCUCUCCCCUCCCCUCCCCUCCAGUUCCUGCCCCGCCCCCGCCCUGUCCCCUCCCCUCCACCCACCCUCCUCCAUCCCUGCCGCGUCGGCCCCGCCCCUCCCCCGCCCCCGGGUGCCCACUCCAGAGGGGAGGAGCGAGGCUCUCGGGCUUGCGGCAGGUGGGCUGGCCGGCCCCUGGUUCGCAGCCUGCCGAGGUGCGUGGACCCUGGGAUUGCGCACCUGCCCGGGGCUUCGGCCUCCUGGGCUUGCAGCCGUCGGGGGUCGCCCGUCGGGGUCGUUCCGAGCCGGAGGGGGAGCGCGUGGCCUCGGAGAAGCCCCCGCGAGGUCGCGCCCCCGCCCUGGGCGCGAGCUGGACCCCGUUUGCCGGGCUCCGGCCCCGCCCCUGCGCAGCCAACGGCGCAGCCCGCCCCGCCCGCAGCCCCGCGCGCACCCGCACCCACUCGCGCCGCAGGUGCCGCGCACUGCGGGGACCCUCAGAGGGAGAGUCGGCCCGGGAGCGCGGGGAGGGCCCGGGGUGCUAUGA